CAGUCUACACUCUGGAACAGUAUUUACAGUAUGUGAGACUGUCUAUACUCUGGAACAGUGUAUUUACAGUAGGUGGGACAGUCUACACGCUGGAACAGUGUAUUUACAGUAGGUGGGACAGUCUACACUCUGGAACAGUGUAUUUACAGUAGGUGGGACAGUCUACACUCUGGAACAGUGUAUUUACAGUAGGUGAGACUGUCUACAGUAGGUGGGACAGUGUAUUUACAGUAGGUGAGACAGUCUACACGCUGGAACAGUGUAUUUACAGUAGGUGGGACAGUCUACACGCUGGAACAGUGUAUUUACAGUAGGUGGGACAGUCUACACUCUGGAACAGUGUAUUUACAGUAGGUGGGACAGUCUACACGCUGGAACAGUGUAUUUACAGUAGGUGGGACAGGAACAGUGUAUUUACAGUAGGUGGGACAGUCUAUACGCUGGACCAGUGUAUUUACAGUAGGUGGGACAGGAACAGUGUAUUUACAGUAGGUGAGACAGUCUAUACUCUGGAACAGUGUAUUUACAGUAGGUGAGACAGUCUACACUCUGGAACAGUGUAUUUACAGUAGGUGGGACAGUCUACACUCUGG